GUCAUCUGGACGACGGCGGGUGAUCAAGGACCGCAGGGCGCGGAUCAAACCCUCCUGCAGCUGCUCCACAGCCCGCAUGUCAGAGAUGCCAGAACGGUCUGAACAACACAGAGGAUCCCAGUAGACCAGCACCACGGCCAUGAAGAGGGCCAUCUCGUCAGGCUCCAGCCCCAGAGAGCCCAACUUCUCACUGAACUCAAACAUUGCGUCCAGCAGAGAGCCCAUGCCCAGGGCCCGCAGGGUGGACAGUGGGCGGCAUCAACACAAAAGCGUCCGUGAGAGCGUGGAAGCGGCGGGAGGAGGGCCCGGGAAUCACGCGUCGCACGCGGCUCUGCAAGGGAAGCCACGUGAGGACGCUUUUGACGGUGCUUUCAC